AUUGAACGCUGGCGGCAGGCCUAACACAUGCAAGUCGAGCGGAUGAAGGGAGCUUGCUCCUGGAUUCAGCGGCGGCCGGGUGAGUAAUGCCUAGGAAUCUGCCUGGUAGUGGGGGAUAACGUCCGGAAACGGGCGCUAAUACCGCAUACGUCCUGAGGGAGAAAGUGGGGGACCUUCGGACCUCACGCUAUCAGAUGAGCCUAGGUCGGAUUAGCCAGUUGGUGGGGUAAAGGCCUACCAAGGCGACGAUCCGUAACUGGUCUGAGAGGAUGAUCAGUCACACUGGAACUGAGACCCGGUCCAGACUCCUACGGGAAGCAACAGUGGGGAAUAUUGGACAAUGGGCGAAAGCCUGAUCCAGCCAUGCCGCGUGUAUGAAGAAGGUCUUCGGAUUGUAAAGCACUUUAAGUUGGGAGGAAGGGCAGUAAGUUAAUACCUUGCUGUUUUGACGUUACCAACAGAAUAAGCACCGGCUAGCUUCGUG
rnacentral:rRNA from 1 species